GGGCUAAUGCGUCGAUACAGAGUAACUUAGUAUUAACUUUAAAACUUGUUUUUGGAGAUUUCUAAUAGCCUGGUCCUAGCGUGGGCUGGAGGAGACACGCAGCGAGGUGGAUGUUGUCCUCUCACAUCCUCAGAGGCCCAGGUGAAUCUACUAGUGACCCUUGAUCAAGUCGUCUAUAUUCUUGGUAAGAGAUCAGGGACCCAACUGCCUGGUCAGACACCAGGUAACCAACAUCAAGAUGAAGAGACUCAGGACUUCCCUGGUGGCGCAGUGGUUGGGAAUCCAUCUGCCAAUGCAGGGGACAUGGGUUCGAGCCCUGGUUCGGGAAGAUCCCACAUGCCGCGGGGGCAACUAAGCCUGUGCGCCACAACUACUGAGCCUGCGCUCUAGAGCCCGCGAGCCACAACUACUGAGCCCGCGAGCCAAAACUACUGAGCCCGCAUGCUACAACUACUGAAGCCCAUGCGCCUAGAGCCUGUGCUCUGCAACAAGAGAAGCCACCGCAGUGAGAAGCCCGCGCACCACAACGAAGAGUAGCCCCCGCUUGCCGCAACUAGAGAAAGCCCGCGCGCAGCAACGAAGACCCAAU